rnacentral:rRNA from 1 species
AUUGAACGCUGGCGGCAUGCUUUACACAUGCAAGUCGAACGGUAACAGGCCUUCGGGUGCUGACGGGUGGCGAACGGGUGAGUAAUGCAUCGGAACGUGCCCAGAGGUGGGGGAUAACGCAGCGAAAGCUGUGCUAAUACCGCAUGUGAUCUGAGGAUGAAAGCGGGGGACCAGGCAGCAAUGUUUGGCCUCGCGCCUUUGGAGCGGCCGAUGUCAGAUUAGGUAGUUGGUGGGGUAAAGGCCUACCAAGCCGACGAUCUGUAGCUGGUCUGAGAGGACGACCAGCCACACUGGGACUGAGACACGGCCCAGACUCCUACGGGAGGCAGCAGUGGGGAAUUUUGGACAAUGGGCGCAAGCCUGAUCCAGCAAUGCCGCGUGCGGGAAGAAGGCCUUCGGGUUGUAAACCGCUUUUGUACGGAACGAAAAGGCUCUGGCUAAUACCUGGGGCUGAUGACGGUACCGUAAGAAUAAGCACCGGCUAACUACGUG